AGCAGUGUUGCCUAGUGGGUAGAGCAUAUGCCUGUGAGUCAGAAGAACCCAGGUUCUAAUCUUGGCUCUGCCA
rnacentral:tRNA from 1 species